rnacentral:rRNA from 1 species
CCUAAUACAUGCAAGUCGAACGCGUUGGCCCAAUUGAUUGAUGGUGCUUGCACCUGAUUGAUUUUGGUCGCCAACGAGUGGCGGACGGGUGAGUAACACGUAGGUAACCUGCCCAGAAGCGGGGGACAACAUUUGGAAACAGAUGCUAAUACCGCAUAACAGCGUUGUUCGCAUGAACAACGCUUAAAAGAUGGCUUCUCGCUAUCACUUCUGGAUGGACCUGCGGUGCAUUAGCUUGUUGGUGGGGUAACGGCCUACCAAGGCGAUGAUGCAUAGCCGAGUUGAGAGACUGAUCGGCCACAAUGGGACUGAGACACGGCCCAUACUCCUACGGGAGGCAGCAGUAGGGAAUCUUCCACAAUGGGCGCAAGCCUGAUGGAGCAACACCGCGUGAGUGAAGAAGGGUUUCGGCUCGUAAAGCUCUGUUGUUAAAGAAGAACACGUAUGAGAGUAACUGUUCAUACGUUGACGGUAUUUAACCAGAAAGUCACGGCUAACUACGUGCCAGCAGCCGCGGUAAUACGUAGGUGGCAAGCGUUAUCCGGAUUUAUUGGGCGUAAAGAGAGUGCAGGCGGUUUUCUAAGUCUGAUGUGAAAGCCUUCGGCUUAACCGGAGAAGUGCAUCGGAAACUGGAUAACUUGAGUGCAGAAGAGGGUAGUGGAACUCCAUGUGUAGCGGUGGAAUGCGUAGAUAUAUGGAAGAACACCAGUGGCGAAGGCGGCUACCUGGUCUGCAACUGACGCUGAGACUCGAAAGCAUGGGUAGCGAACAGGAUUAGAUACCCUGGUAGUCCAUGCCGUAAACGAUGAGUGCUAGGUGUUGGAGGGUUUCCGCCCUUCAGUGCCGGAGCUAACGCAUUAAGCACUCCGCCUGGGGAGUACGACCGCAAGGUUGAAACUCAAAGGAAUUGACGGGGGCCCGCACAAGCGGUGGAGCAUGUGGUUUAAUUCGAAGCUACGCGAAGAACCUUACCAGGUCUUGACAUCUUGCGCCAACCCUAGAGAUAGGGCGUUUCCUUCGGGAACGCAAUGACAGGUGGUGCAUGGUCGUCGUCAGCUCGUGUCGUGAGAUGUUGGGUUAAGUCCCGCAACGAGCGCAACCCUUGUUACUAGUUGCCAGCAUUAAGUUGGGCACUCUAGUGAGACUGCCGGUGACAAACCGGAGGAAGGUGGGGACGACGUCAGAUCAUCAUGCCCCUUAUGACCUGGGCUACACACGUGCUACAAUGGACGGUACAACGAGUCGCGAACUCGCGAGGGCAAGCAAAUCUCUUAAAACCGUUCUCAGUUCGGACUGCAGGCUGCAACUCGCCUGCACGAAGUCGGAAUCGCUAGUAAUCGCGGAUCAGCAUGCCGCGGUGAAUACGUUCCCGGGCCUUGUACACACCGCCCGUCACACCAUGAGAGUUUGUAACACCCAAAGUCGGUGGGGUAACCUUUUAGGAGCCAGCCGCA